UUUCAUUGGCUGCCAAUCCUGAAGCAUGCAGAGCACAGCAGAAUGCAGUCACUGUGCUGACAGCCAUGUGAAUGUCAGCACAAAGCACCCAGGCGCUGAGAGGCAGGAGGUCAGCUCGUCAGAGGCAGCCCAGAGGGGCGAGCUGACUGGAACUCCAGAUGGAAGACCAUUGCCUCUCCCCUUGAUGUCAGGAGUUGUGUCUGGAGGGCACCAGCCCCUGGGGGGCAGCUUCCCGGCCCUUGUGGAGGGGUAGGGAGCACCAGAAACUCCAUUUCCAUCAUGAGAGUUUGUCCCUGCUCUUAGAGGGUGUGGCGAGAGGGCAGACAUGAAAAAUGUGUUGGAGAAAUGAAUAACCGCAACCCAAUCUGGGUGUUCUUUCUGUUCUGUCAAGACUUUACCCACUUUCACUCAAGAUAAUGAUGGAUGUCAAGAUGAAAUAAGGCAAGAGGAUGCGUCUGAGGACUGUCUUUUUAUCUUUCAACAGGCACCUGAGUGCACCCACAAAUCAAACUCAGAAGAAUGGUAAUUUGGAAGGAAGAAGAUUAAGUUAAACCUAACUUUUCAGGUCAGAUGAUCUAAAGCAGACAUCAUAAAGAAAGAUAAGAAGACUAAAGCCUUGUAAGAUAUUAGUGUCUAUUAUUCAUUCUGACAUGACAACAAAGGAACUGUGUGUUUUUAAAAAAUUAAAGUAUAUAAUGUUGUGGAAUCUUCACAGUAACCCAAUGAAGUAGUCACAAUAUUAUUUUCCUUUGUAGAUGAAGAAACUGAAGGUUGGAGAAGUUAAGUGGCUUAGUCAAGGUCCACAGGGAGGAAACUAGUCAUAUGGAGUAAGGAGUUGAGCUGAAGCUCUGGGGUCUAUUUUCAUUUCAUAUACACACUGUCAGUCCUCAUGCCUAAAUGUUAUUCCUUCUGAUUUCCAACAUCUGCGGUGGAUUUUUUUUCUUUUUAAGACCAUUGUGGCAUGUUAAUUGAUCAGAGCCCAAACAAGUGGAUGGUGAUGCUCGGCAGACUUCAUGACGUAGGACUUGGCUUAUUAGUAAUUUAAAUCAUGCUAUAAAAUAAUCCCACUCCUACUCUAUUGCUUUAAGCCAUCUGCUUUGUGAUGAUCAGAGCUUCAGCCUAAUGAAAAAAAUAUUGAGUUAGAGGUCUUUUUGUUUUGUUUUGUUUUUGAUGAUAAUACCGGGGGCAUUGCUGGGAGGCAUUUGCCACAAAUUCAAACUGGGUCACCUGCCUCAUUUGUGUGUGGAGCAGAAACCUGCCAAAGCUUGUCUUUCCAAGAUCUUUGUCUCUGAAAGAACAUGGGAAAGGAACAUGAAGAGAUUUUCUUCCCAAUGAGCUCCAUAGGUCUGCCCAAGCCAGGAACAAUAUAGGAACAGGAAAAUAUAGCCAAAAACUCAUGUAUACAUUAGUUAAUCUGGGUUUGGUUUCCUUUUCUACAUAAGUUUGUAACAGUUUUAACAAAUGUAAAUUGUCCAAAACCACAGACAAAUUUUAAAAAAGAAGGAGGAGAAAGAGGAAGGAAGAGGAAGAGGUGUAGUUCUGUUUUUAAACACUCUGAAAACCUAUUGUAGAAUGAAAGACUCUUCAAACGCUGGGCCAGGGUAGACAUCAUCUGACCCACCACCUUUUCAUUUUUACUCUCACAGAACGUUAUCCAGACAAAACAUCCAUUAGUUCCUCCUGGUAUGUGUAAUCCAAGCAAUAAUUCAUGGCUUUAUUAGUUUAAAACAUAGCUACUAGCUUAUAUCUUCAUUCUGUGAAACUUAACUGAAUUCUAGAGUUGAUCAAAUAAAGCCACCUAAAUUCAACUAGCCAUCCAUGAAAGUGCAUUCAUGAACUUGAACAUUAUCAGACUAGAGCUAUUUCUUCCAGGCUCUUGCAUCAGGUCUGAGAGUCUCCCUCUCAAUGUAAUUUCUUAGCAUUACUCCAUGGGCACUUCUCAAUUAGCAUUGCUUCUUAGGAACCUUUAGCAAAAGUUUAAACAUUUCAGUGGUGCCUAUUUAUCAUUUUAACUGUUAGCAGAGAUUAGCUUCAACAAUCACAAUUCCCAUUUGUUAUAGAAGCCUGGAGGCGAAUGCUCAGAGCAGGCUGAGAAUAGGACAAUAAGUGUAAAGGUGUUUUAAAAGCAUAAAUGAGGUUAGUCACAAUACAAGUGUGAAACGGAACAUGUCAGUUGGUUUCACAUAUCUCUCUGACUUCUAUUUUGUCAUCCUAGAUUAUGUGUUUACUUUGAGAACAAUUGAGUAGCUAUGAAGGUAGAGAACAACUUUCUAAAGAGAUGGGACUCAAAACUAAUUGCUUUUGAAGAGAGAAGGUGGUCAGGACUACGAGUCAUUAGUGAUCAGUCACCAUAUAGGUCUGGGGAUCCUGGGAGUGAGCAGGGGGGAUGCCUGAGGGGCAGGAAGGUGUAUGGCAGAGGGUAGGAGAGCUGUUUCACUGUUCUUUCUAGGGUUAACCUAUUUCCUGUCUCCGGUCUCUGUUUCCAUUACUAGAUUUUUUCUGUUCAGAACCAAAAUGCAAAAUGUCCACAGUCCCUAUGCUUGAUAUAUCUGACUUACGAAACUGUUAUUGUAUUGACCAAAAAAACCCCUCUGCUUUUCUUCUGGAAAUUAUUUCCAAAAACAGUCCAGGCCCUGCCUCUUACUGAGUGAAGAAGAAACAUUCCUCUCUAGCAACUCAGCACCUUUUUCCUUGAAGAGCCUUGAGGAAUAACAAUUCAGAUGAGCACAACAGAUAUCCUCCACUGCCAUCAGUGCCAGGACUUUUUGGCCAGAGUGGCGCUUCCCCAGGCAUGUCUUUUUCAUCACCGUCACGAAUUUUAGUGGGGGUUGGCAGGCAACAGAAAGUUGAGAAUUUAAAUAAAUCUAGAGAAUAUUUAGUCACAAGUCAGAAUUUAUAGGGCAUAUUGGUAUUAUUCCUGCUUUCAAAGCAGAAUAUAGGAUCACAGAUUAAUGACAUGAUUUUUCUAACUCCUGGCCAGGAGAGAACCUCAAUGAUUAAGCCCCACAUUAGUAAUCAGGUGUAGAGAAAUGAGAUAUUAUCUCUUAGAGUGGAAUCUUUGAGAUGAACAAUUUACAUGAUCAUUUGGGAGGAAAAAAUUUAUAUGUGUUUAUAAUGUUUAGGCCAAAUACUAUGGAUUAAAUUUUUUUAGAUGCUAUUAUAAUACUCUAAUCAUUACAUUUGAUAGUAGGGGUGUAGAAUCAUUCACAAUUCAGGGCUUUUAAGCAUCAGUUAUUUACAGUUUUCAGUUAGCUUGGGAAGGUAUAACAAAAGAGCAUAAACUGAGUGCUUAUACAAUAGAAAUUUAUUUUCUCACAGUUAAGGAGACUAAAAUUCUGAGAUUAAGAGAGCAAUAUGGUCCAGUUUUGGCGAGAUCUUUCCUCCUGUCUUAUAGAUAAUCACCUUCUCACUGUGUCCUCACAUGGUGAAGAGGGAGAGAGCAAAUUCUUUGGUGUGUCCCGCAUCAGACUAGAGAACUGCCCUUAUGACCUCUCAUCCUGAUUACAUCCUAAAUAGGCCAUCUUGGGGCACCUGGGUGGCUCAGUUGGUUAAGCCUCCACUUUCAG